UGGUGUUGCCAGAAGAUAUAU
ensembl:piRNA 21ur-140 ncRNA